CAAACCUUCAAGCUCAGCUUGGUCUUGGGCGAUCGUCCCCGCCUUCUGGGCGCGGACCCGCCUCAAAUCCAUUGGCAGCCGGCACCUCUCAGGCUAUGAGCGCAGCAGAAUUGCGCCUCUCGCCCGGGGAACCAGCGCUCCAGCAAGCACCUUUCACC
rnacentral:misc_RNA from 1 species